UUUUUUUUUCUUUCUUUUUUUUUUCUUUUCCUACAUGUAAGAGGUUUAUUUGGGGGGCGGGGGGAGGAAGAGAGUAAGGUGGCAGCAGAAUGAGAAAGGGGGAAAGAGAGCCUGUCUGGGUUUCUAAGAAAGGGGGAUGGAGCAGCUGCCACGUAAAGGAAGACUUGCUUGAGCCCCAGGGGCUUGGGAGCUGGCUUAGGGGAAGGAUAUGGAACACUGAGCUGAGCAGACGGUAGUGUGAGCAGAUUCAAGGGGAGGCAGGGCUUUUAUGAUUGCACCAGUCGCACUGUUGCUAGGAUCUUGGACAUGUUAUGCAAACCCUGUACAACUGAGACACACCCCCAACCCAUGUUUCUGAUUUUAAAAUUUGUUAGUACAUGGAGAACCUGUUUGGAAGCUUUGUUAGUCCAGACAAACAGAAGUGAGUUAGGUCUGUGGCAGGGCUGGAAUCUAACUCUGUAACACUCCAGGUCUGUAACACUCCCCAUACUGUGUGUAUAUAGGUAGCCAUGUAACUAACUCCAUGUAUGUGGAAGUCAGAGGACACAACCUGGGCUGGACCUCUUCUUCCAUGCUUAUGUGGAUUCUUGUUAAGCAGCAAGCACUUUUAUGCACUGAGCUAUCUUGCUGCCCCAACCUAUUUUUUGUUUGAGAAGAUUGUCUCUCUGAAGUCCUGGUUGUCCUGGAAUUAGCUGUGUAGAGUAGGAUGGUUUUAAACUUAGAUCCUUCUGUCUCUGCCUAUUGAUGGUUGGGAUUAAAGAUGUGCUAGCAUACAACCUAAUUUUUUUAAGUGAGGGAAGGCACUAGAAAGGAGCUAAAGCGGGAACUCCAUCUUUAAGCAUGGGGACGUGAGUUUGAUUUUCUUCUUCAUGUGAUAGUGUACAUUUAUAAUCCUAGUGCUGGGGAGGCAGACAGGCAGAUCCUUGACUUGGAGCCAGCCAGCCAGUCUAGCCUCUGCUCAGGUCUCAGCAACAGAGUCUUUUAAAACAUGGUGGAACAAUUGUCUAGUGCAUGCAUCAAGCCCUGAGAUGGAUUCCAUGGUGUCCUGCAGCCCCCAGGCUAUGGUAGAUUAAUAUGAUUGAAAAUGAAGAUUAGAGCUGAAGAGACGGCUCAGUGGUUAAAAGAUUUAAGAGUGCUUGCUACUUUUUCAGAGGACCCAAUUUGGUUCCUGGCACCCAGAUUGGCAGCUCACAAUCACUUGUAGCUUGAGAUCCAGGAUUUGAUGCCCUCUCUUGGCCUGCUUGCACCUUGGCCCAGAAAGGCACACAUAUACAUAUAAAAAGUGAGGCUGUAGAGAACUAGGUAUAUUCAGCAGCUCCUAGAACAUAACUUAGUGACUAGGUAUGGGAGAAGAGAGAUGUAUUAAGAUUACAGGCUGAAGCUGGACAUGGGAAUGAGAACAGGCCUUCGAGGUGGGAGGAUCAGUGGCUUUUAGAAGAAGCUGGGCUGGAGAGUGGCUCAGCCUUGGUUCCUGGCACUCGUACUACCAGGUCCAGGGGAUCCGAUGCCUCUGACCUCCUGAAGCACGUGAGUUCAGGAGCAGGUACACAUGUACAUGCACGCAUAAUUUUAAAGAUCUUUUCAAAAGUAGAAUCACUUCUGUGGAUUUUUACAUAAUAUCAGGCCCCAGCCCAAGCGUCCCAGGAUAAGAUGUGUCCUCUAGGUAUAACCCUGAGAUGGACCUCUGAACUUAAGAUAGAACUUCCUUGCUCCUUUUUAAACUCAAGCUGUUUUGGUUUGGGAUAAAUAAAGCAUUGGAUUUUGAAAGCUGGAAGUGGUGGAGCGUGCACUUUGAAGGUCGAGACAGACAGACCUCUGAGUUCAAGGCCAAGCUUGGUCUACAUAGUGAGUUCCUAAAUGAGGCCAAGUGAGACUCUUGUCUGAAAACAAACAGGGGCUGGAUCUCAGCAGUUAAGAGCACUGCCUGCUCUUCCAAAGGAUUCAGUCAAUUCUUAGCACUCACGUGGGCAGUUCACAGCUGUCUAAGUACAGACCCAGGGGAUCCAAUACUUCACACAGUUGUGAAUGCAGACAAAGCAUCAAUGUACAUAAAAUAAAGUUAAUU
rnacentral:lncRNA from 1 species